AGUCUGCCCAGAGACUUAGCGACAGACAGACGCUGGGACCCACGACGACAGAAGGCGCCGAUGGCCGCGCCUGCUGAGCCCUGCGCGGGGCAGGGGGUCUGGAACCAGACAGAGCCUGAACCUGCCGCCACCAGCCUGCUGAGCCUGUGCUUCCUGAGAACAGCAGGGGUCUGGGUACCCCCCAUGUACCUCUGGGUCCUUGGUCCCAUCUACCUCCUCUUCAUCCACCACCAUGGCCGGGGCUACCUCCGGAUGUUCCCCACUCUUCAAAGCCAAGAUGGUGCUUGGAUUCGCCCUCAUAGUCCUGUGUACCUCCAGCGUGGCUGUCGCUCUUUGGAAAAUCCAACAGGGAACGCCUGAGGCCCCAGAAUUCCUCAUUCAUCCUACUGUGUGGCUCACCACGAUGAGCUUCGCAGUGUUCCUGAUUCACACCAAGAGGAAAAAGGGAGUCCAGUCAUCUGGAGUGCUGUUUGGUUACUGGCUUCUCUGCUUUGUCUUGCCAGCUACCAACGCUGCCCAGCAGGCCUCCGGAGCGGGCUUCCAGAGCGACCCUGUCCGCCACCUGUCCACCUACCUAUGCCUGUCUCUGGUGGUGGCACAGUUUGUGCUGUCCUGCCUGGCGGAUCAACCCCCCUUCUUCCCUGAAGACCCCCAGCAGUCUAACCCCUGUCCAGAGACUGGGGCAGCCUUCCCCUCCAAAGCCACGUUCUGGUGGGUUUCUGGCCUGGUCUGGAGGGGAUACAGGAGGCCACUGAGACCAAAAGACCUCUGGUCGCUUGGGAGAGAAAACUCCUCAGAAGAACUUGUUUCCCGGCUUGAAAAGGAGUGGAUGAGGAACCGCAGUGCAGCCCGGGGGCACAACAAGGCAAUAGCAUUUAAAAGGAAAGGCGGCAGUGGCAUGGAGGCUCCAGAGACUGAGCCCUUCCUACGGCAAGAAGGGAGCCAGUGGCGCCCACUGCUGAAGGCCAUCUGGCAGGUGUUCCAUUCUACCUUCCUCCUGGGGACCCUCAGCCUCGUCAUCAGUGAUGUCUUCAGGUUCACUGUCCCCAAGCUGCUCAGCCUUUUCCUGGAGUUUAUUGGUGAUCCCAAGCCUCCAGCCUGGAAGGGCUACCUCCUCGCCGUGCUGAUGUUCCUCUCGGCCUGCCUGCAAACGCUGUUUGAGCAGCAGAACAUGUACAGGCUCAAGGUGCUGUAGAUGAGGCUGCGGUCGGCCAUCACUGGCCUGGUGUACAGAAAGGCAUCCACAGCAUAUCUGAAGAAAUAUUCAGAAGUUAACUAAUCUCAGAUGAUUUCAGCAGGAGUAAAGAAGAGAAACAGACUCAGAAAUGCCAUUACAACAGUUAAUUAUGUCAAAUUUAUCACCCUGAUUGAUCACGCAGCAUUAACCUCAAGAACGCCAAGCCAAGUUUUUUUGACAAAUGUGAGCCAAGGUUUCCGAAAAACUAGCAGAUAUGACUGUGACUUACAAAAUGGAAAAAGUAAACGAGAAACACAAUUUGAUAUGAUUUAAUAAAAGAUUUGUUUCCACCACUUCUCCUGGGAACCUCAGCACAUUUUCUUUCCACUGACAGUUAUUAUCUCUACCUUUAUUGAACAAAGACACCCGGAACACAGCUGCUGAGGAUCAGUAAAGAAAAUCAUUCUUUUAUUAAUAAGACUGUUAUUAGCAGGAAAAAAAAAUCCAUGUUUGGGAGUUUGCACUGAAGUUACAGGCCAUUUUGAAGAAAUAUGGCUGACUAGUGCCAACAUUAUUUCAGGCAAUUUCAUGAUCAAAUGUCUUAUUAGGUUGUUUAAAAUUUUUAUAGAGAUUGUAAAUCAGAACUAUUUUCUAUUUGCCCUAAAUAUUUAGAUGCUACAGGGAAAGCAGAUCAAAUUAAAGGGUACUGUGCACAUUUUUUUACUGGGAACUCCCAGGGAUAUAAAUCAUUUCGCCUGCAGCAUGGAAUUCUUCAGUACACAUGCUUGUGGAAACAUUCCACGCUCCGCCAGCACGCUCAUUAAAGUGAUGAUUUGGGUUGCAACAACAGUGCCAAGUACUUCCUGUGUUCAACUGGGGACCAUGUGGCAAGACCCAAAGCUUCCCCAGAGAUCCUAUGGGAAUAAGUUUUUUGAGCCACCAUAUUCCAUUAUUUCAGCCUAAAAUAACACCAUGGGACAAGAAUCAGAAGACAGAGGAGCAGACAAAUGUGUGUAGACAUGCUGGAAGGAAUCUUUCUUUUUAGAAACAGGGUCAAUAUCUAUUAAACUUUAAGAUGUGUAUCUCUUGACCUGGCAGUUUCUGUAUUUGAGUUUUAACCUACUGAUAUACCCAUGCAUGUGAAUAAAGUAUCUUCCUGCAUGUAACAGGAUAUUUAAUGUAACCUUGAUUAUAGUUGCAAAUGCUGGGAAACGAUCCAAAUGUCUUUCAAUAUGGCACUGAUUAAAUAAAUUAUGGCACAGUCUCACAAUGAAAAACAAAUGUAGCCAUUAAACAGAAUGAAAUGGGUCUAGCUAAAUUGAAAUAGGACUACCUCUAAGAUAUGUUGUUAAAAAGAAAAAAAAGAAAGUGCAGAGGAACAAGUAUGAUACCAUUUUGUAUUUUUUAACAUAUGCAAGCGUGAUUGUGCCCACACAGAAUACCUUUGAAAAUAAACUCAGUAUUUGCCUCAGUGGAUAAAAACAAGAACCAGCCUUAUUUUCACUGUUAUAUCUUUUGGUGCCACUUUUUGAACUUUUUACCAUAUGUGCAUAUGUAACUUUCUAAAUAAAUUUUGUAAAAAAGAGAAA
ensembl:lncRNA ABCC6P1 ATP binding cassette subfamily C member 6 pseudogene 1